AAAUUGAAGAGUUUGAUCAUGGCUCAGAUUGAACGCUGGCGGCAGGCCUAACACAUGCAAGUCGAACGGUAACAGGAAGCGCUUGCUGCUUCGCUGACGAGUGGCGGACGGGUGAGUAAUGUCUGGGAAACUGCCUGAUGGAGGGGGAUAACAACUGGAAACGGUAGCUAAUACCGCAUAACGUCGCAAGACCAAAGAGGGGGACCUUCGGGCCUCUUGCCAUCGGAUGUGCCCAGAUGGGAUUAGCUUGUUGGUGGGGUAACGGCUCACC
rnacentral:rRNA from 1 species